CCAACAGUAGCGUGAUUCGCAGUAGUUCCUCGCCUUCCGUGCGGUACACUAGGUGGUGCUUGGAUAGCUUUUAAGAGUAACAUUAAAUUCCGCCAACGUCCAGAAGAAGGCACGGUGAUCAGUCAAGUAAAAUUCUGUUAAAACAUACGUAGACAACCUGGUGUAUCAUCACGUGUACAUAAGUAUAUUGGAAGGAAUAAAGUGGAAGCUGUGAAUAGUCCGUGACAGUGGCAGAUUCAGGGAAUCCAAAAACACUGGAGUGAUUUUAACGUGCUGAAGUUUGUGUGCUGAUAAAAUUCUUGGAAGAUUCACAGCAAGAACAGUUACACGAGGAGACAACCGUCAUCUUUGAGUACUGUCGCACAAUCAAGGAUUGAGGGGCCGAAUACUCAUCGCUUAAGAAAAAAACAAAUCAGUUAUCCUGUCUCACGGACUCCAUCGACUCCUGGGAAUUUGAUACGUCGCAGAAGUCAAGUUUUGCUGUCGUCAAGAUAAUAUACCUACUCUUAAUAUCCUAAGGCAAAUACGCAAGAUUUUUACUCAGACAUGUCUCACCUAGUAGUUGUACCAGAACUCUAAUAAUAUUAGUUAGUUAUCUAGCGACCUUCAAGCAAAUCAUUUGCCAUUCACACGGAUCGUUGUCAAUUGAACUUCGGUAAUUGGAUAAUCAGCUUCAUCCUGUCUACUGUGGUCUCGUUGGACCAGAUAUCCCGUGAAGAAAUAAUAAAGGAGGCUGGAGAACAAUCUUUGAAGUUACUGCAUAUCUACGCACUCAUCUACUUAAUUAACUGGGUACUAAAUAGGAUGAACGCUAUCUCAUGAGAUGAAGCGCAAAAUUAAUUAAUCUAUCCACACACAGACAGGAAGACUUUGUUAAUUUUUCUUUUCUCAAGAAUUUCUGACUUUUUAAUAGUAUUGCCCUUAAAGGUGCAGCAUUUUCCUCAUCAUCGCUUGAGUGGUCCCAAUUGCGAUUCAGAUGGCCUACAAUAAAGAAGACUCUCAUUGGUCCAGCGGUUAAUCCAAAGAGACACGAUUGGUCCUCAGAUACGGAUCAUCGCCGGAACCCCCUGGCUGACUCGCGCAUUCAUUCAAACACUCGCACAUCGAAGAACAAAAUUGAUUUUAUCAUAUUGGAUACAUCUCGGUCACUGAAGAAAGUCUUCUUGGUGGAAUUACGUGGAUUGAAGAAUCACAAUUUUGAGGAUCAAGAAGCAUCACAGCAUACGAAGAUUAACAAAGAAGACGUUCACUUUUCGAGGAUUUUUCUCUUUUUUUGAGAUCUUCAAACUGACUACUGACUUGGAAUAAUAUUUUGGCAGAAUCUUUACUAUACUCUUGGCAAGAUCAAGAUACUAUUGAGACCUAAUUCAUCAAUCAACUGAAUGGCACAGAUCUAUUGGCUGUUGCUUUUCGAAAGACGUUAAAACUCACUAUCGAAUUCAACUUCGAGUUCAUCCUCAAGGAAGUGAAGAGUGAAAAAUUGGAUUAAAUUUCUCAAGUUGUACCCUGAAAUUAGAUAACACUUUAUUGGUGUCUCCCAAGGCGAAAACUACUUUUUAUUGACGAUCGUUAGAACUUCUUGAUCGUGUGGCCCAACAUAAUUGGCAUCUGGUUAAUUCAAUUGACGGAACGCCUUUUUCCCAGUGAGUUUUAAAAACUUUUUUUAUACGCCAUGGAGCGAAGGAUUUUGAAAAUGUGGUGACAAGGUACCAGGCGAAGGCCUCCAAUGACCAAGACACUAACUUGUGUGUGAGCCAUAGUCGUUAGCAAUAUUCUGUAACGAGGAAUAAUCGCAAUCGUCCCUUUGAACCCGUGAUUUGAUACUGCAGAUCACCUUCAGGAUAUAUCGUAUAAUUUUUCUAAGAAAUCCGGAUAUCUUUAUCAAGAAACAAAGAAUCAAAAGGAGGAGUUGUGAAGAGAGAAGAUACUGUUUGAAAUACAAAUUUUCACCAGAAGUGUUUCGACGUUUGUAUUUAAAAAAAUACAAUUUCAAAAUCGAUCCAUCAAGGAGGAUACCAAAGAGGAUUUAGUGAAAUCCCGAGAACAGUCAUUCAGUCACAUCCGGUUCCAAGUCAUUUCUCGUUUCUAAGCAAGAUGCAUUGCAGCCAGGGUGUUGCGAUGGUGUUCGAAGAUGCGUUCAUCGUUUUUUCACGUUUUCUCUCCUUAAAGUCACGAGGCUGCGCCCUCUUGGAAACUCAUCGACAACGUGAAACUACUGGUAUCAAAAAGCUGUACAACAGUUUUUUUGUGAUGUUCUAAAAAGAGGCGAAUACGACAAUAUCGACCCCGUCCAGCGUGCAAGAGCCGCCCCAGGGGAUGCGUAGAUCCAUAACGGGUAGAUUUUCAA